rnacentral:rRNA from 1 species
AGCGAACGCUAGCGGCGGGCUUAACACAUGCAAGUCGAGCGGAGAGCUUCGGCUCUCAGCGGCGAACGGGUGAGUAACACGUAGGUCACGUACCCUUUGAUGGGGAAUAACCUAGGGAAACCUGGGCUAAUACCGCAUAUGUCCUUCGGGAUGAAAGCCUUCGGGCGUCAGAGGAUCGGCCUGCGGCCCAUUAUUUAAUCCUAGUUGGUAGGGUAAUGGCCUACCAAGGGUACGAUGGGUAGCUGGUCUGAGAGGAUGAUCAGCCACACUGGAACUGAGACACGGUUCAGACUCCUACGGGAGGCAGCAGUGGGGAAUAUUGGACAAUGGGCGAAAGCCUGAUCCAGCCACGCCGCGUGGGUGAUGAAGGCCUUCGGGUUGUAAAGCCCUGUCGGGAGGGACGAAUCAAUGACGGUACCUCCCAAGAAAGCACCGGCUAACUCCGUGCCAGCAGCCGCGGUAAAGUC